rnacentral:lncRNA from 1 species
AUGCGAAUGUGUACAGGAAUCCUGGUCAACACGGACUGCGAGUCUUCGCCCAAAAACCACGUGGCAGAUUUUAUUUUUUCCACCCAAAAGGAAUCCGGAUCCGACAAGGUGUGCGCGUCCUCACCACCACAAAUAUAGAAAGUAAUAAAAUAAAAAAAGAGAAAGUAGCGUUGAUUUCAAGUCAUUACAACCAAGAAAGAAAAACCGCGUCGACAGCUCAUCACUAUCCGUUACAACUUACACAUCCACCGUCUAUUAUUUCCAUCACCGGCUCAAUCUUGACCGUUCAUGCCGACCCCCUCUCCUCAUAA